AGGAGGAACAACCCCAAUGGCGGGGCCAGCUCUGGAGUCCUGGAUUCAGCUCCCGCAGUAACUACAGAGCUCUCCGUCUGCAGGGCCUGGAGGCUCCGGGCAGGG
rnacentral:pre_miRNA from 1 species